AUGGAAGCAGAACUCACAGCAUUAGACACGGCAACAGUUGAAGCAGAAUGGCUUCGAGAACUUUUGAUGGACUUGCCGGUGGUUGAAAAACCAAUACCAGCUAUUCUAAUGAACUGUGAUAAUCAAACAGUGAUCGUCAAGGUAAACAGUUCUAAGGAUAAUAAGAAGUCAUCAAGACACGUGAGAAGGAGACUGAAAUCUGUCAGGUUCAUGAGAAACUCCAGAGUUAUAGCGUUGGACUAUAUAAACACAUCGAAGAAUCUGGCAGAUCCCUUCACAAAGGGUUUAUCACGAAAUGUGAUAGACAAUGCAUCGAAGGAGAUGGGAUUGAGACCCACUACAUAA
rnacentral:rRNA from 1 species